GGGUGGGGGCCCGCGCCCUGCGCGGCUCGCAAACGAACCCCGGCGCGAGAAGCGCCAAGGAAAUUGAGUACUAGGAGCGCGCCCCCUAAGCCUCGGCGUCGGGGGCGCGCCUUCUUCUGGUGAUAAUCUAAACGACUCUCGGCAACGGAUAUCUCGGCUCUCGCAUCGAUGAAGAACGUAGCGAAAUGCGAUACUUGGUGUGAAUUGCAGAAUCCCGUGAACCAUCGAGUCUUUGAACGCAAGUUGCGCCCGAGGCCUCCUGGUCGAGGGCACGUCUGCCUGGGUGUCACGCAUCGUCGCCCCCUCUCCCCUCGGCUCACGAGGGCGGGGGCGGAUACUGGUCUCCCGCGCGCUCCCGCUCGCGGCUGGCCCAAAAUCGAGUCCCCGGCGACGGUCGCCACGACGAGCGGUGGUUGAGAGACCCUCGGACACUGUCGUGCGCGCGUCCGUCGCCCCCGGGAUCUCCUGGACCCUCGGGCAUCGACCUUCUAGGAUGCUCUCGUUGCGACCCCAGGUCAGGCGGGACUACCCGCUGAG
rnacentral:rRNA from 1 species